UGGGGAAUAUUGCACAAUGGGGGAAACCCUGAUGCAGCGACGCCGCGUGAGCGAAGAAGGUUUUCGAAUCGUAAAGCUCUGUCCUAUGAGAAGAUAAUGACGGUAUCAUAGGAGGAAGCCCCGGCUAAAUACGUGCCAGCAGCCGCGGUAAUACGUAUGGGGCGAGCGUUGUCCGGAAUUAUUGGGCGUAAAGGGUACGUAGGCGGUCUAUUAAGUCAGGUGUGAAAGCGUGAGGCUUAACCUCAUUAAGCACUUGAAACUGAUAGACUUGAGUGAAGGAGAGGAAAGUGGAAUUCCUAGUGUAGCGGUGAAAUGCGUAGAUAUUAGGAGGAAUACCGGUGGCGAAGGCGACUUUCUGGACUUUUACUGACGCUUAGGUACGAAAGCGUGGGGAGCAAACAGG
rnacentral:rRNA from 1 species